rnacentral:rRNA from 1 species
GGGUUGUGAGGUUAAGCGACUAAGCGUACACGGUGGAUGCCCUGGCAGUCAGAGGCGAUGAAGGACGUGCUAAUCUGCGAAAAGCGUCGGUAAGGUGAUAUGAACCGUUAUAGCCGGCGAUGUCCGAAUGGGGAAACCCAGUGUGAUUCGUCACACUAUCGUUAACUGAAUACAUAGGUUAACGAGGCGAACCGGGGGAACUGAAACAUCUAAGUACCCCGAGGAAAAGAAAUCAACCGAGAUUCCCCCAGUAGCGGCGAGCGAACGGGGAGCAGCCCAGAGUCUGAAUCAGCUUGUGUGUUAGUGGAACGGUCUGGAAAGUCCGACGGUACAGGGUGAUAGUCCCGUACACCAAAAUGCACAGGUUGUGAACUCGAAGAGUAGGGCGGGACACGUGGUAUCCUGUCUGAAUAUGGGGGGACCAUCCUCCAAGGCUAAAUACUCCUGACUGACCGAUAGUGAACCAGUACCGUGAGGGAAAGGCGAAAAGAACCCCGGCGAGGGGAGUGAAAAAGAACCUGAAACCGUGUACGUACAAGCAGUGGGAGCACCUUCGGGUGUGACUGCGUACCUUUUGUAUAAUGGGUCAGCGACUUAUAUUCUGUAGCAAGGUUAACCGUAUAGGGGAGCCGCAGGGAAACCGAGUCUUAACUGGGCGUUAAGUUGCAGGGUAUAGACCCGAAACCCGGUGAUCUAGCCAUGGGCAGGUUGAAGGUUGGGUAACACUAACUGGAGGACCGAACCGACUAAUGUUGAAAAAUUAGCGGAUGACUUGUGGCUGGGGGUGAAAGGCCAAUCAAACCGGGAGAUAGCUGGUUCUCCCCGAAAGCUAUUUAGGUAGCGCCUCGUGAACUCAUCUUCGGGGGUAGAGCACUGUUUCGGCUAGGGGGUCAUCCCGACUUACCAACCCGAUGCAAACUACGAAUACCGAAGAAUGUUAUCACGGGAGACACACGGCGGGUGCUAACGUCCGUCGUGAAGAGGGAAACAACCCAGACCGCCAGCUAAGGUCCCAAAGUCAUGGUUAAGUGGGAAACGAUGUGGGAAGGCACAGACAGCCAGGAUGUUGGCUUAGAAGCAGCCAUCAUUUAAAGAAAGCGUAAUAGCUCACUGGUCGAGUCGGCCUGCGCGGAAGAUGUAACGGGGCUAAACCAUGCACCGAAGCUGCGGCAGCGACACUAUGUGUUGUUGGGUAGGGGAGCGUUCUGUAAGCCUGCGAAGGUGACCUGUGAGGGUUGCUGGAGGUAUCAGAAGUGCGAAUGCUGACAUAAGUAACGAUAAAGCGGGUGAAAAGCCCGCUCGCCGGAAGACCAAGGGUUCCUGUCCAACGUUAAUCGGGGCAGGGUGAGUCGACCCCUAAGGCGAGGCCGAAAGGCGUAGUCGAUGGGAAACAGGUUAAUAUUCCUGUACUUGGUGUUACUGCGAAGGGGGGACGGAGAAGGCUAUGUUAGCCGGGCGACGGUUGUCCCGGUUUAAGCAUGUAGGCUGGUUGUCCAGGCAAAUCCGGAUAAUCAAGGCUGAGGUGUGAUGACGAGGCACUACGGUGCUGAAGUAACAAAUGCCCUGCUUCCAGGAAAAGCCUCUAAGCAUCAGGUAACAUCAAAUCGUACCCCAAACCGACACAGGUGGUCAGGUAGAGAAUACCAAGGCGCUUGAGAGAACUAGGGUGAAGGAACUAGGCAAAAUGGUGCCGUAACUUCGGGAGAAGGCACGCUGGUGUGUAGGUGAAGUCCCUGCGGAUGGAGCUGAGACCAGUCGAAGAUACCAGCUGGCUGCAACUGUUUAUUAAAAACACAGCACUGUGCAAACACGAAAGUGGACGUAUACGGUGUGACGCCUGCCCGGUGCCGGAAGGUUAAUUGAUGGGGUUAUCCGUAAGGAGAAGCUCUUGAUCGAAGCCCCGGUAAACGGCGGCCGUAACUAUAACGGUCCUAAGGUAGCGAAAUUCCUUGUCGGGUAAGUUCCGACCUGCACGAAUGGCGUAAUGAUGGCCAGGCUGUCUCCACCCGAGACUCAGUGAAAUUGAACUCGCUGUGAAGAUGCAGUGUACCCGCGGCAAGACGGAAAGACCCCGUGAACCUUUACUAUAGCUUGACACUGAACAUUGAGCCUUGAUGUGUAGGAUAGGUGGGAGGCUUUGAAGCGUGGACGCCAGUCUGCGUGGAGCCAACCUUGAAAUACCACCCUUUAAUGUUUGAUGUUCUAACGUUGGCCCCUGACCGGGGUUGCGGACAGUGUCUGGUGGGUAGUUUGACUGGGGCGGUCUCCUCCCAAAGCGUAACGGAGGAGCACGAAGGUUAGCUAAUCCUGGUCGGACAUCAGGAGGUUAGUGCAAUGGCAUAAGCUAGCUUGACUGCGAGCGUGACGGCGCGAGCAGGUGCGAAAGCAGGUCAUAGUGAUCCGGUGGUUCUGAAUGGAAGGGCCAUCGCUCAACGGAUAAAAGGUACUCCGGGGAUAACAGGCUGAUACCGCCCAAGAGUUCAUAUCGACGGCGGUGUUUGGCACCUCGAUGUCGGCUCAUCACAUCCUGGGGCUGAAGUAGGUCCCAAGGGUAUGGCUGUUCGCCAUUUAAAGUGGUACGCGAGCUGGGUUUAGAACGUCGUGAGACAGUUCGGUCCCUAUCUGCCGUGGGCGCUGGAGAAUUGAGGGGGGCUGCUCCUAGUACGAGAGGACCGGAGUGGACGCAUCACUGGUGUUCGGGUUGUCAUGCCAAUGGCACUGCCCGGUAGCUAAAUGCGGAAGAGAUAAGUGCUGAAAGCAUCUAAGCACGAAACUUGCCCCGAGAUGAGUUCUCCCUGAGACUUUAAGUCUCCUGAAGGAACGUUAAAGACGAUGACGUUGAUAGGCCGGGUGUGUAAGCGCAGCGAUGCGUUGAGCUAACCGGUACUAAUGAACCGUGAGGCUUAACCUUACAACGCCGAAG